AAGUCGUAACAAGGUUUCUGUAGGUGAACCUGCAGAAGGAUCAUUAGUGAAGAUUUGGGCAGGCCAUACGGACGCCAAAAAGUGUCCCUGGCCGCCUACACCCACUAUACAUCCACAAACCCGUGUGCACUGUCUUGGAGAAAGGCUUCAGAGAAGUUUUUUGUGGCCUCUCUUGGGGUCUUUCUUCGCUACAAACUCGAAUGGUUAGUAUGAACGUGGAACUUGGUUGGACCGUCACUGGCCAACAAACCAUACACAACUUUCGACAACGGAUCUCUUGGUUCUCCCAUCGAUGAAGAACGCAGCGAAACGCGAUAGGUAAUGUGAAUUGCAGAAUUCCGUGAAUCAUCGAAUCUUUGAACGCACCUUGCGCUCUAUGGCAAUCCGUAGAGCAUGCCUGUUUGAGUGCCAUGAAAUCUCCCACCCCAAGCGGUUUUUACAUGAAACGGCUUGGCGGAUGGGGUCUGGAUGGGUGCCUCUGCCUGCGCUACCUAGCACAGGCUCGCCCGAAAUGCAUGAGCGCCUUGAGACACUUUGCAUCCGCCUCUCUGUUUGGGGGGAGGCGGCCAAGCAGUGUUUUUCUCCUGGCAUGGCAUGAUACGUCAUUUGCUAUGUCGCCUAAAGGAGGAAUGUCUGGUUGUGUCUGCGUGUGCUUCGAACUUGCCUCUGUGGCACAUCCCAAUUUCGCUUCUGGUCUCAAAUCAGGUAGGAUCACCCGCUGAACUUAA
rnacentral:rRNA from 1 species